AUUAAUGACACUGAUAAAUUAUGUCCCAUCAGGCCAUAAUCUAUAGGUCCACUGACAGCCAGAACUAGUUCAGAACAGACGUUCAUACUGGCUAUAAUCUGGACGUCCGUUGACAUCCAGAAUUAGUCGAUGAAUGACGUGAAAAAGAUGUCCAAUCUGGCCACAAUCUAUAGGUCCACUGACAGCCAGAACUAGUUCAGAACAGACGUUCAUACUGGCUAUAAUCUGGACGUCCGUUGACGUCCAGAAUUAGUCGAUGAAUGACGUGAAAAAGAUGUCCAAUCUGGCCACAAUCUAAACGUCCGUUAACAUCCAGAUUUAGUCAAUAAAUGACAGAAAAUAUGUUAAAGCCACAAUCGAAACGUCAUUUAUUUAUUAUUAUUAAAUGCUUGUAGAAGAAAACUACAUCAAGUUUGCAAGUACAACAAAAAAUAUAACAAACAUCGUCAUUGUCAUAACAUUACAACUAUAUGUAACCGGGUGGUAAAUACCCCUUAAAGUUUGUUUUUCGCCUUGUAUGUUUAAAACUGUUAUUUGAUAUGUUGAGUGAAUUAUGGAGACAGGAAAGGCAGCGGUUACCUGUAUUUCCCUGGAGUUGUCAACAGGUGGCGCUAUGUGUGUUGCGUACGAGAUUAUGCGCAUGCAUUCUCACCUCGGUCAUUGUUUUGAUAGACAUGCAACGAGUAGUGUGAGAGAGACGCUCACUCUCUGGGAACGGUGUACAACAGUAUGUUGAGCAUUUCAACCCUCGUGAGGUGAAUGUGAUGUUCUGUAGGAGCUGAUUGUUACGCUCUUCACCAAUCAGCUGAUUGAACUUCUAUUCAAUAUGAAGGGAAGGGCAAAAAGAUAAAAUUUGAAUUGAAGACAAUAAAUUGUUUUCAGCAAUAAAAGCUGCUGUCAUGAAAUGGGACCCAGCUGCUACAGAGGCCCAAAUAAAGUCUGCUGCAUCUGAUCAUCUGAAACAUGCCCCGGGAGAGUCAGGGGUGGUGGCUGUAAAUGAAUAUAUUGUGGACCUUAUAGCAGCCACAUUUUGUUAAUUGUUUACUGUUUUAACAAAAUUUUAUAGCACUUUUAUUUAUAACUUUACUGUUCAGGUUUUAAGUUGUAUUGUGUUAAUUUAUACUUGACUGUUCAGGUUUUAAGUUGUAUUGUGUUAAUUUAUACUUGACUGUUCAGGUUUUAAGUUGUAUUGUGUUAAUUUAUACUUGACUGUUCAGGUUUUAAGUUGUAUUGUGUUAAUUUAUACUUUACUGUUCUGGUUUUAAGCUUGGGUAAAAUUUGUAAUAAAAAUAUA